rnacentral:tRNA from 2 species
GGGGGUGUAGCUUAGUGGUUACAGUAUUUGCCUAACAUGCACAAGGCCCUGCGUUCCAUUCCCAGUACUGCCA